rnacentral:tRNA from 1 species
GGUGGGUUGGCAGAGUGGUCUAAUGCGCCGGUUUCGAAAACCGGUUGGGGAGUAAUCCCCUCGCAGGUUCAAAUCCUGCACCCACCG